CUGACCCCUAAGCAGUGUCAUUUUAACCUUAGAUUCCUGAUUAACUUACUUGACUGGCCUGCUAUGCAUGGUAGGGUCGCCUGGAUCAACCCACCACACCCAUCUAUUUAAAACUGUUGCCUCUCAGAGCACAAGAUUCUAAGAUUCCUCCUCAAUUCCGCCUGUACAAAGUCUCCACCACUGGCUUCUAGAAUGCUCUGUUCUCCAUGGCGCUUGUAAUUAUCUACGCAUGCGUUGGUUUCUGGCCACUGUUUUGCUCUGACUACUGGACUGGUCGAUUCUUGAGACUGUCCAGGUGGCCUGUGAGGCCCCCAAAGUUGCUUGAGGCCCAGCGUGAACCCCAGGUCUGACGGUUAAACUCCUACUCCUUGUCUCCUUACGGGGAUGCCCAGACUGGCUAUUAAGACUGCAUGAAUCAAUGAGUCAAUCAGGUGUGGACCGGGUGGGGGUGGGGUAUCACUGAUCCUUGCUGCUGCUGUGAGCUAUGAACGCGCUGUCACUGGGAGUCUGGGGCCUAGGGUGGAAAACAUUAUUAAAAUGCCGAUGAGUACAUUUCUAUGACUACCUGACCAAGACAGGAGAGGAAAAGAGCAAACUGGCCCUGGGAGAGUAGUUACAGAGUCCCGGAGAGUUUCUCCUACUUCAGCCUCCCAAGCACCACGAUCCCAGGUGCACUCUACCUGAUCUACUUCUGCCGCUCUCUUUCUAAGUUGACCGGAAGAGACCUCUAGCUAGACACUUUUCUGAUUCAUUCUUUUAAAAGCCAUUUGUUUUUAAUUAGAGUGCCUGUGCCCAGAGGCAUCCAUACCCCUAUCCCCACCCCCAGAACCGGAGGCACAGAGGGUUGUGAACCACCUGAUAUGGGUGCUGGGGACUGAACCCCGGUCCCUUUUUAGGACCCUUAACGGCUGAGCCUUCUCUCCAGCACCUCUAGCUUAUUCAAUGUGCAUGGGUGCAUGGGUGCAUGCGUGCAUGUGUGUGAUAGGUGAGGGUGCUGGGGCCUGAACCUAUGGCCUAGCGCUUACCAGACAGAUGCUCUACCACUGAGCACCAUUCACAGACUCCUAAUUAUUUUACAUCUUCUAGAUCCAGCCAACUUGUUAGCAGGUCCUCUUAAUUUAUGUAUGAGAACCACCCACAGAACUCAAAAAGAAGCCCAAAGGCCCAUCCUAGCUCCCCAACCCUGGUUAGAGUCUAGUUGAAGGAGGGGGGAGUCAGUGGUGUGUGUGUGUAUGUGUGUGUGAGUGUGUGUGUGUGUAUGUGUGUAUGUAUGUGUAUGUGUGUGGUGUGCAUGUGUAUGUGUGGUGUGUGUGUAGGGUGUUUGUGUGUGUGGUGUGUAUGGGUGUGUAUCAAUGUGUGUGUAUGUGUUUUGUCUAUGUAUGUGUGUAUGUGUUGUGUGUAUGUAUGUGUGUGCAUGUGUAUGUGUAUGUGUGGUGUGUUUGCAUGUGUGUGGUGUGUGUGUAGUAUGUGUGUGUUAUGUGUUGUGUGUGUUCGUGUGUGCGGUGUGCAUGUGUGUGUAUGUAUGUGUAUGUGUGUGUGUAAUGUGUUUCUGUGUACGUGUAUGUGUGGUAUGUGUAUGUGUGUGUGGUGUGUAUGUGUAUGUAUGAUGUGUGUGUAUGUGUGUGUGGUGUGCAUGUGUGUAUGUAUGUAUAUGUGUGUGUGGUGUGUAUGUGUAUGUAUGAUGUGUGUGUAUGUGUGUGUGGUGUGCAUGUGUGUAUGUAUGUGUAUGUGUGUGUGUAAUGUGUUUGUGUGUAUGUGUAUGUGUGCCUGUGUGCGUGUGUGUGUGUAUGUGUAAUGUGUUUGUGUGUAUGUGUAUGUGUGGUAUGUGUAUGUGUGUGUGGUGUGUAUGUGUAUGUAUGAUGUGUGUGUAUGUGUGUGUGGUGUGCAUGUGUGUAUGUAUGUAUAUGUGUGUGUGGUGUGUAUGUGUAUGUAUGAUGUGUGUGUAUGUGUGUGUGGUGUGCAUGUGUGUAUGUAUGUGUAUGUGUGCGUGUGCGUGUGCGUGUGCGUGUGCGUGUGUGUGCCUGUGUGCGUGUGCGUGUGUGUGUGUGUGUGUGUGUGUGUGUGUGGUGAUGGUGGUGUUUGAAUCAGUCUCAUGUUACCUUAGCUGGGCUAGAACUCACGGUGUUCUGUAGCAAGGCUGGCCUUACAUUCCUGCCUCUACCUCCUGAGUGGGCAGAUCUGUUUUUAUCUUUUGAAGAGGGUCUACAUCAUGGUCAGUAUUGAUUGUCAACUCAAAGACUCUAGACUCACCAACUUCUAGGCUUGCCUGUGAGGGGAUUUUGAGGUCAGCCUCCAGGACCCUCAGGAGGGAUUAUUUAGAUGAAGUUGGUUGGAUGUAGGUGGCUCCCACUCAUGAACUGAAUGAGAGCUGGGUGUCUCAUCUAUCCCUUUCUACCUCCUGGCUGUGGGUGCCAUGUGCCAGUCUACCUCAGGCUCCUGCUGACCUCACAACUUCUCGCCACCAUGGGCUCUACCCUGGAACUGUAAGGCAAAGUAAAUUCUUUCUCCCUUAAGUUGCUUUGCCAGUUUUUUGUUGUUUUGUUUUGUUUUGUUUGCGAUAAGGAGAAAAGUAACACAACCCUGUCAUGCGGUCGUGUGACCUUUCCUCAGAGAACAAACAUCUGCUCAGCACCAGCAGGCUAUAGUAAGAAUUCUACACUGCACUUGCUAAAACCGUGAGUUCGCUGGACUUCCUUAUAGGGCAGGAAUGAGGAACUACUUCCAGGAGCCAGGAUGACUCAAAGACAGUUGCACCACGAAAAAGAGAAAAAAGCUCACCCCAGUGUGGACAAUACAAACACUGUGUUCUGAUAGAGGUGGGAAAGGCUCCAGGCUGUGAUGGGUACCAGUGGCCAGAAAUGGAGGCUGAAAACCUCUGGGUAACCCGCACUUCCUCAUUUUACCUCCCCCAUAUCCAUGAGAUACCCCUCAAAGGUCAAGAGAGGACUGAGGUGAGGACUUAACUGAGAACCCUUCUCAGUUUGAUGAACUUUCCUCUGAUUGGUCCCUAUUUUCACCUAUUUUGCAUACAUACAACUAGCCAGUUAGAACCUUCUUGGACUUAUUAAAAACCCCUAGACCCACUCUCUUCAAUGGCAAAUACUUUCUCUUUUUCAAUAAAUUUAUCAUAAGGAAACUUACAAAUGGGUCACCAAAAUUAAUGAGACUCAAAGUCUGUGCAACUUAGUGAAUUUGUAUAGCAUUAGAGUAGGCUCUCAAAGUGCAAGCCACAUAGCUUCACAUUAUGUCACACUUUCAGUAUUAAAUAUAUUUUAUGCAUUUAUCCACAGCCAAGGAGCAAACGCAGGCAAGGGGCAGGAGUUGUGAAGGAGGAUUUAAAGCUAGUUGUUUUUCGAGUUCUAUUUCUGUCAGGGAGUUUUUGGCGUUGGUGGUGAACUUGACCACUGUCCUUGCUGCUGCCCAUCUAGAGCUUUCUCUUUCCCUUUGGUUUAUAAACCUUGCUCUGCUCCCUUUCUGUUCCUUAUUCUUAUAGGUCAGGAGACAAGAAGUAUGCAGAGAAGAAAAUCUGCAGUCAUUCCCGGGACAGAGGGUGGAUCUCCCUUCCCAGUCAUCACUGUUAUCUGUUAUUACUUGUACAAGGAGGGGGCAUAGGAAUCUAGUUAUAGCUUUCUCAGACUUGUAAGUUCUGUUUACCUUCCGAACAGACUUCCCUCUCCCUCCGGGAGCCAGAAACCGUUACCCACAAUCACACACCGAGCUUUGGAGGCCAAGACUUGCACUCCAUUGGUCCCAGCUUUCCCAGUAACUGUUGUCAUAAGCACGUGACCAUAUACGUGUGCUACCACGCCUGGUUUGUAAUGUUUAGAUUUAUUUUACGUGUACGAGUGUUUUGCCUGUAUGCAUGUACAUAUACCACAUGCAUGCCUGCUGUCCAAAGAAGCCGGAAGAGGGUGUGGGAGCUCCGGAACUGGAGAUGUAGAUGAUCUUGAGCCAUUGUGUGGGUGUUGGGAACCAACCCCGUAUCCUCUACAGAAGCAGCAAGCGCUCUUAACGCCAGCCACCUCUCCAGCCCCAGGGCAUUUUGGUGAAGAACCAGAUAUGGUUUUUGAUGUGGUUGUAAGAGUCACAGCCGUGUGUGGGGGGGGGGGGCGGGUUUCCAAUUUGUGAGAGUCCCUCCCUCUCUCUGUGGAAGAGAGGACAAAGCUUGCUCCACGCAUACUGGGCGCCUAGAGCCCCGCCCACUUUUGCUUUAGAACCGAACCUGAGUUUAUGCAUCCGGUAGGCUCAGUCCCAACUGCAGGACUCCAUCAUUGCCGCCCCAGUCUCCAAAAUGUCCGUACAGAUCAACCCCGAGAGUGAAGUGAAUCCAACAGUGACAUCGACAGCGUAGACUAAUAUGUUAAAACGCUGGCUGCAGAGAAGAACCCGCUGCUCUAAGAAGGUUCCGCUAUCACGAAUGGGACUUCCGUUCUGUGUUCCCCCGUUCAAGAGAGCCGGAGACACUUGGCUGAGCUUUUUAAAUCUUUCUUUAACUGAUAUCUCACUUGUUAAAAUCUGUUGUCUGUUAUGUACACGGUAUGGCCAUAGGCAUCAAAUCUGUAUGUGACUACAUCAGGGCAUCGUGGCCCAAAACCUAGUAGCAGUCUUCAUAAGGUGAAACAGGGGGAUUCCAAGUUCAAGACCAGCCUGGAUUCCUUAGUAAGAUUCUAUCUCAAAAAAAUAAAGAUAUUUGGGAAGGGGAACAUUUGAGAUGUAAAUAAAUAAAAUAAUUCGAAAAGUCAUUAA